UUUUAGUUUUGAUUUUGUGCUCGUACUGAUACUGCUUUGUAUUUUGUGCAGGCUACUACAGGAAGGGGAUCCGAGCUUCAGCCAGUUUACUGCUUCAGGAGACUUCAGUUUUGGUUUCGAGAGGAGCGGGAUACUUGCUCGUGAGCCACCUCAGGAGACUUCUGUUUCAGGUCUUAGAAGUGCAGAA